AGCCCCUGAAUGCAGCCAACCCGGCGCGCACCGCAUCUGCAGGGGCUGCUGAGAGUAAAUACUUGGCGCCUCCAGCUGCUGGCCAAGGAGACAGAUGGAGCUCAAGUUGGGAGAUGCGCCCUGAGAGCCGAUGAUAGACACAAGUCCAGAUCUCGGAUUUUGAUACUGUAUGUUCCCUGGGUUCCUGAGAGAGGACAUUGAGGAGUAGGAGUCGGCGAUUAAGGAGAUCGGUACAAUUGGGAAGCCUCCUGUCAGAGCUUCCAGCAAUUUCCUCAUCAGAGGUGGACAAGCCCUAUGGGCUAAGACAGAGGGUCCUCAGAAAGGAGUGCGGACGCCGUCAUGCUGCAGCAGCUCCUGAUCACCCUGCCCACCGAGGCCAGCACCUGGGUGAAGUUGCGUCAUCCAAAGGCGGCCACGGAGCGGGUGGCCCUGUGGGAGGAUGUGACUAAGAUGUUUAAAGCAG
rnacentral:lncRNA from 1 species